rnacentral:miRNA from 1 species
CUCCAGAUGUUGCUGAACUACAACUCCCAUGAUUCUCAGCUAUGAUCUAUUUCAUUCAUAGAAUCAUAGGAAUUGUAGUUCAGCAACAUCUAGAG